CCCGUGGUCCGGGCCCCUCUGGCAGCAGCCGCCGGCGCUUCUGCGAUGUCGGACCGUUUUC
rfam:Agrobacterium vitis S4 chromosome 2, complete sequence.